GGCACACACACGGGGUGCCGCGCACUGCGGCUGAGAACACACCCGUCGAACCUGAUCUAGCUCGUACUAGCGAAGGGAUUGUCGUGGACACCACGC
rnacentral:ncRNA from 1 species